AUGAAAGUUAUUGCUUGGAACUGCCAUGGGCUUGGGAACCCAUCGGCAGUUCGAAGCUUGCUCGAGCUUCAACGGACAGAAGAUCCCGACAUCCUCUUUCUCUCUAAAACGAAGCUGAGGGAGAAGGAGAUUGAGUUCUUGAGGUGGAGAUGGAGUCUAGUGCACAUGGUGGUACAAGAUUGCGAUGGGAGAUGUGGUGGAUUGGCGGUUUUUUGGCGAAGGGGUGUGGAGGUGAAUCUCAGGUCGAAGGGCCGA
rnacentral:rRNA from 1 species